rnacentral:rRNA from 1 species
GUAGUUAGCCGGGGCUUCCUCCUUGGCUACCGUCACUUUCUUCGUCACCAAGGACAGAGGUUUACAACCCGAAGGCCUUCUUCCCUCACGCGGCGUUGCUGGGUCAGGCUUUCGCCCAUUGCCCAAUAUUCCCCACUGCUGCCUCCCGUAGGAGUCUGGACCGUGUCUCAGUUCCAGUGUGGCCGAUCAGCCUCUCAGCUCGGCUACCCAUCGUUGACUAGGUGGGCCGUUACCCCGCCUACUAUCUAAUGGGACGCGAGCCCCUCCCUCUGCGGAUUGCUCCUUUGACCUCAUCCCGAUGCCGGGUCGUGGUCUUAUGCGGUAUUAGCAGUCGUUUCCAACUGUUAUCCCCCAGUACAAGGCAGGUUACCCACGCGUUACUCACCCGUCCGCCACUCAGUCACUUUGAAGAGCAAGCUCUUCAAAGUGCUUCGUUCGACUUGCAUGUGUUAAGCACGCCGCCAGCGUUCAUCCUGAGCCAUGAUCAAACUCUGA